rnacentral:rRNA from 1 species
AGUGAACGCUGGCGGUAGGCCUAACACAUGCAAGUCGAACGGCAGCACAGUAAGAGCUUGCUCUUACGGGUGGCGAGUGGCGGACGGGUGAGGAAUACAUCGGAAUCUACUUUUUCGUGGGGGAUAACGUAGGGAAACUUACGCUAAUACCGCAUACGACCUACGGGUGAAAGCAGGGGAUCUUCGGAACUUGCGCGACUGAAUGAGCCGAUGUCGGACUAGCUAGUUGGCGGGGUAAAGGCCCACCAAGGUGACGAUCCGUAGCUGGUCUGAGAGGAUGAUCAGCCACACUGGAACUGAGACACGGUCCAGACUCCUACGGGAGGCAGCAGUGGGGAAUAUUGGACAAUGGGCGCAAGCCUGAUCCAGCCAUACCGCGUGGGUGAAGAAGGCCUUCGGGUUGUAAAGCCCUUUUGUUGGGAAAGAAAAGCAGCAGGUUAAUACCCCGCUGUUCUGACGGUACCCAAAGAAUAAGCACCGGCUAACUUCGUG